GAUGAACGCUGGCGGCGUGCCUAAUACAUGCAAGUCGAGCGAACAGACGAGGAGCUUGCUCCUCGGACGUUAGCGGCGGACGUGUGAGUAACACGUGGAUAACCUACCUAUAAGACUGGGAUAACUUCGGGAAAGCGGAGCUAAUACCGGAGAAUAUAUUGAACCGCAGGGUGCAAUAGUGAAAUACGGGUGUUCGGUCACUUAUAGAGGGAUCCGCGCCGCAUUAGGUAGUUGGUAAGGUAACGGCUUACCAAGGCGACGAUGCGUAGCCGAGCGGAGAGGGUGAUAGGCCACACUGGAAGUGAGACACGGUCCAGACUCCUACGGGAGGCAGCAGUAGGGAAUCUUACGCAAUGGGCGAAAGCCUGGCGGAGCAACGCCGCGUGAGUGAUGAAGGUCUUCGGAUCGUAAAACUCUGUUAUUAGGGAAGAACAAAUGUGUAAGUAAAUAUGCACGUAUUGACGGUACCUAAUCAGAAAGCAACGGCUAACUACGUG
rnacentral:rRNA from 1 species